GCAGCUCAGUGGUCAACCACUUGCUUCAGGUGCAAGAAGUCCCAGGUUCAAUUUCUGGCAUCUCCA